rnacentral:rRNA from 1 species
AUUGAACGCUGGCGGCAGGCCUAACACAUGCCAGUCGAACGGUAACAGGAAGAAGCUUGCUUCUUUGCUGACGAGUGGCGGACGGGUGAGUAAUGUCUGGGAAACUGCCUGAUGGAGGGGGAUAACUACUGGAAACGGUAGCUAAUACCGCAUAACGUCGCAAGACCAAAGAGGGGGACCUUCGGGCCUCUUGCCAUCGGAUGUGCCCAGAUGGGAUUAGCUAGUAGGUGGGGUAACGGCUCACCUAGGCGACGAUCCCUAGCUGGUCUGAGAGGAUGACCAGCCACACUGGAACUGAGACACGGUCCAGACUCCUACGGGAGGCAGCAGUGGGGAAUAUUGCACAAUAGGCGCAAGCCUGAUGCAGCCAUGCCGCGUGUAUGAAGAAGGCCUUCGGGUUGUAAAGUACUUUCAGCGGGGAGGAAGGGAGUAAAGUUAAUACCUUUGCUCAUUGACGUUACCCGCAGAAGAAGCACCGGCUAACUCCGUG